GAAAAUCAACAGCUAUUUUACCCUAUGUAAUCUCUGAAGCAGGACCACGCUAUUUGGGUACCAUGGCAACUCUCCUGAGAAAACUGUUUCCACAGAUUCACCAUUUCAAUGGUAACCAGAAACAGCAGUACAAAAUAUGUGGGAAACCGAAGACAAUGCAACAUGAAAAAACAAACAAAACGGAAUGUAAUCCGAAAACAAUUACUGAAUAGAUGAAUGCCAUGUUUUCCUUGCAAAGUAAUGAGAUUUGAUGUUUACUCAUGUGGAUAAUCCAGCACUACACAGACACAAACCCACCAGGCAGUAUGAAAGUAAAUGUCACUGUUGAAGAGGAGGUCUGGGGUGCUUUUGCAAAGCUGGUGAUCUUCUGCCCGGGUCCAGGAAGCCUCCAGGGUGGUCUCCCCGGUGGUCACAGCCUCCGAUUGCAUCCCUGGCAUUUGUCAUCAUCCUUUUUCUGAUCCUGAUGUGGGCUUUGCAGGAACCUGACCAAGAAGUUGCCAUCCCUCCAUCGUUCUCACAGCUCCUUUCUCUCUGUGAUUCGAAAUGAGUCUAGCAACUCCUCCAUCCUACAGUGCCCCAGCUCCCAAGUGAACUUUUAGCAGCAGCAAGAGUGACGGCAGCAGCAAGAGUGACAGCAGCAGCAGGAACUCAUAGGAACCCAGAACACUGAAAGAGGCAGAUCUCUGAUCAGAGUCACUGUGGUCCCAGGAGGAUGAGGUGAAACCAUCCUGCCUUUCUCUUUUUUCUGACAAAUGCUUACCCCCGUCACCUCCACCCUCCCCCAAGGUAAAGGCAUUUGACAUGGAUAAGUUCUGAGUUAGUCAAACACAACAGCCUUGCAAAUGGUCUUCCAGGGACUCACAAGAGAGAUCAAAUAAUAAUUCUCUGGAAUCAAGGCUUUGAACAAGCUGGAGUUGAGUUCUGCCCCCCUGCACUGCUUCCAGGCUGCUAGUUUUCACCAUAGCUGUUGGCAAUUCGUUUUUGAGGCUCCUGUUAAAACUGAAAGCAAGAGAUGGAACUUGAGGUACUGAAAGCACGACCGAUGCUCACUGGUUUUCUCCUGCUGCCAUCACUUUUCUUGAUUAAAUACUCUCUAGAUUGUUGCAAGACUUUAGUUAACUUCUAAAGUUCUGAUAAAAUCAAC
ensembl:lncRNA